UCAGCCUAUGUUUUGCUUUUGCUUUUUUAAAAUGGUGCUUUGUUAUGUGCAUAACAUUUUAAUAUGAAUGAUAUCAGAGCUAUCAACUAUUCUCUUACCAAAGUACUCUGGGAAUUUUAAGAGAGGCCCUUCCUGGCCUCCAAGUUCAUGAAGACAUUUUCUGAAAUUUUACUCUUUUGUUCUUGGUUUUUUUCUUCAUUUAUCUGAUGGAAUAUAUAAAUUGUUUUUUCUGUGAGCAGUUCUUGAACCUCUUGAUUAAUUUGAAAAAAUUAGAUUCACAAAUUUUCUUUUUAAACUAUCUUGUCUACACCCCUUCAUUUAUAUAUACAAUGUUCUCAUUACUCCCUAAAUAUUCUGUAUGUACAGUUUUCUUACUUAUUCCUAGAAUUACUUAAAGAACUACUUUAUUUUAAAUGUCACUAAUUUGUUUUACUUUAAAAAAUGCUACCAGGAUCUUUCGAGGUACUAAGUAUUACUAAUUUUUUCUAAUACAAAAUCUGUCCUUCUUAGCUGUAGAGUCUUCUAUCUCAGGAAAUUUCCUUUUAACUUUCUUUUUAAAUUUUUUGUCUAUUCAUGCUUGCAAGUGAUCUGUAAGUUGGCUCUUAAUAUCCUGACCUUUAUAUCUACCAUCUCUUCCCAUUUGGUCCCUUUGUUGUUAUUCUGUGCACUUUAGAACAGUUCUCUGGUUUGCCUCUUACAACAUGAAUUCAUUUUUCUGCAAUAUCGCUGCUGCCUUAUUUUAAAUCUGAUUUAAAUUUUUGUGAUCAUUUUUAUUUGUGUUUUUACAAUCUUUCCUAAUUUAAUCCAUUUCUUAUAUUAGUUUUGGUCUUAUCCCAUCAUUUCUCUUUUGUUUCAUAAUGUACAAGUUUCCCUAAGUCUUUUGAGAUGACAAAGCUUUCUAAAGUGCACUCCUUUUGAAGUAACAAAAUGUCCCCUGCUUUUUAUAGAGUAAGUCUGUUUUCAUUUUUAAAAUCUGCAGAAAUGUUUUAUAGGCUUCAUGUUUUCUUUUAUUUUUUUCUAAGAAGCAUAAUCUAGGAUGGAUUACUGGGAUUGCCCAGGGUUCCCCACACUGACUCCCUGAUUCUUGUUAGAAUUCCCUUCUCACAUAAUGAGCUGAGAACUGUUUAAUAUACUCCCGUCCUAACUAACAUUGGCAGUGGCUUAUUUAGCAUGGUUCUGUUGGACUAAGGGAUAUGGGAUCAGAGAGAUAUGUGUUUCAACCCCAGAUCUGCCGCGCAUUAGCUUGCCAGUUUUGGACAAGUCACUUAACUACUCUAAGCCUUGGAUUUAUCUGUAAAAAGGGAAUAACUACCUGCCUCACAGACCCAUCGUUGAUCAUUUCACCAGCAAUGUAUAACUGGUUGGACAUAAUUGAUAGUUUUCCUACCCCAUCCCCAAAUUUGGUUGGUUUGCUUAGAAGGUAAAAGCUAUAUAAUGGACAAAGCCAAGUGGCUCCAGCCAAGAUGGCAAAUCAAAAACAAUGUUACACUCCAGGGAAAUGGCAGAAGUUAGUGUGUCAUACUUACAGACUUAAAAGAUAUGUAGUCCCAUCAUAUCCCCAUUAAAGUCACUAACUUGGUCUUUAAAAAAGACCUUGAUCCUUGACAAUAAGAGUAAACCACGCCAAACUGACAAAAGUAGUUGCUUGAAGUAUUUGUUGUCCUAGAUAUGAUACCACUACUAGGGCAGAUUCACAGAACCUCAGGCACAUGUACAUAACGAAUAUGUCGUUAUGUACAUAUAUGUACAUAUAUGUCCUCCUGCGUCUUUAUCAUAAAGAGGAAUCAGAAAUAAUUCAUGUUCAUUUAGAAUGAUCAAGAGUGAAUGGCCUUGCCAAAGACUGUGUUAUGUAUCUUGCCUUCUGUCAUAUAUUUCAAAGGGAUCUGGAAGUUGGACAUACUAUGAAACAUCCUUCUGGUCCACUAUAUUGGUGACCUUAUGCUAGUCACACCAGAAAAACAAGAAUUUGGCAAAUGUUUUGGGGUCCUUAGUAAGACAUAGACAUUACAGAAGGAGAAGGUACAUCCCAUGAAGAUUGAGGGGCCUACCACAUCAGUAAAAUUUUUAGAAGUUCCAUGGUCUGGGGCAUGCCAGGACAUGACUUCCAAAGUAAAGGACAAAUUAUUGCAUCUCGUUUGCUUUACUACAAAGAAGGAAGCACAAUAGCUGGUGGAUCUCUUCAGGUUUUAGAGGCAGCAUAUUCCAUAGCUGGGGAUCCCACUCCAACCCAUCUCUCAGAUACAAUGAAAGCCUUCCCACUUUGCAUGGGAGACUUAACUAUAGUUCUGUGAGGAACUCUAAAGAGAUUUUCAGUAGGUCCAGACUGUAUGCAAGUGGCUAAGCCACUUGAGCUUGUGUCCCUGAAGUUGCAAUAGACUAGUAGAUAAGUGUGGUGAGAAAAUAUGUCAGGAUGGAAGUGUGAAUGGUCCCACUUAAUAACACUGCCAGUGACCCACUUGGGAAUUUAGAUUUCCCAAUCCCCAACUCUAGAUGCUGUGGGAUAUAGGUCCUGGUUCCCAAAAGGGAAUACCUCUACAAAGGGACACAUUAGAAGUGCCCUUGGACUUUAAGCUACAACUGCUGUGCAGGCACCUAGGGGCCCUAAUGCCAAGAGACUGUGGCCAAGAAUGAGUCACCAUUUCUGGAAGGAGUAAUCGACCCUGACCAUCAGAAAAAAGUAGAAACGUUAUUACACAAUGGGAAUAGAGUGGAAUAUGAUUGGCACCCGGGUGAUUCAGCUGGAUGUUUCUACCUAUUCUCACUCAUUUUUUAUGGUUUGUGGACAAAUACAUGACACAGCCUUAAAAGGGCAUGAUGAUUAGGGACUCAGAUCCCUAAAGCAUGAAAUCUGUGUCAGAGCCACCUAAAAUUGAAGGAGUACUGGCUGAGGAUGAAAGGAGUCUAGAGUGGAUGGUAAAGGAAGAAGUAGGUUAGAUGACAUUAAUGGCUGCAAGAGCAGCUCAGGUGUUGAGAGUCUAUAAUUUGUCCCAUGCACCUUCUUAGAAAUUUCUUCCAGGACAAGACCACCACCAGAGUCGUUGAGAAGCUUCUCCCAGAAUUUAUACGAAGAAGUGAAUCUAGGCAUUGUAAGUGGUGGUCUGUAAUGGAUGCUCUCGUAUAUCACCUAGAUCUUCUUCAAUACUGAAACACGUGGUCCUCAAGUUUUUGGAAGUGCUUCUGGCUGACAGAUCCCACCUGCCUGCCUCUGCAGGAAUUGCAGUCACCUGGAGAGGUAUCUUGCCAAGAUCAGGCCCCUUCCUGGGAGAAGCCUGCAUGCAAUGAAUGGUAGAUACUGUGAUGUAAAGGUCCAGAAGCCUCUCCCAAGCUGGGAUAACUUUGAAGGUCCAUCCCAGAUUUAGAUAUGUCUAUGGGUUUAGCUGAGAGCUUUGUUUGUUGCCAUUACAACAUAACACAGCUUCUCCUUUUACCUUGUUUUUGUUUUUGUUUUUUGGUUUUGUUUUGUUUUGUUUUGUUUUGCCAGGGAUUGAUCCUGUAAACAAUUCCUAAUAAACUUUCUACACGUUAAUCUCUAUCCUAGGACCUACUCCCAUACUCCCACAACAUGUACCUAGCAGUCAUUAAUUCAUUUAUUCAAUAUAUGUCCUUAAUUUGAACAGUUACUAUUGCCUGGCAUUAUGAUAAAGGCAGCGAGGUAGAACAAAAGCAUAAAACACGGACUCUUAUUAAUAAAGAAUUUAUGGGCAAUUUAAGGAGAUACCAUAUAUACACAGAGAACAAGGCAAUGUUAUACAAAUAAAAUCAAAACCUGUAAACAUUGAGAAGAUUAUGGUCAGGGGCUCAGACUUCCCGGAAUGAGGGUUUGGGUUGCAUCAUCAGGUGAGUCUAUCAAAACCCUGCAGGAGGUACUUGGUAAAGGCAAGUACAAAGUUGGAUUAUAUACAAUAAAUUGUUAAUUUCAUAGCAAGACAGCAAGAGCAAAAAUUAGCAACCAUAUUGCUGGAAAGAUAUGGACUAACUAUGCAGUUACCUUAGUGUGGCUUGCAGUCAUCCUCCCCUAUUUGUGACUAUGUGGGUGAGUCUGUCCAUUUUAUAGGGAAAAAAUUAGCAAGCUCAUCUUGACACCCUCCCACAUGCUUAGAAAAAAAAUCAUCUUCUUCGGGCUGCCACUUUAUCAGUUAAAAAAAUAAAAAGCUGACAUUUCAACUCUCCAUUUACUGACUCCGUGAUUGGUUCCAGCCCCCAGCUGGGUAGGGGUGGAAGUGGCAAUAUUGAUUCCCCAUGAUUCCAGUCCCAGUUAACUGUUGACAAAGUAGCCCGAUUGCUGAGUAGGUGAUCUCUUUAAGUGGGGAAAACAGGGUUUUUCCCCCCCAAUUAGAUGUGGUAAAUAGUCCUAUUCAUCUAAGGUGGAACUCUUUUGAAAAUGUAUUAUUCCAUCUAUGGACUAUUUAUGAUCUUCAAAUUUAAAGGUUAGGCCUAGGGUAACAGAGUUAUUUUAGAAAUACAUAUUUGGAUCCAGCUACAAUCUUGAAAGCCUAUCCUUAAAAUUGGUAAGAAAAGAAUUUAUUUUCUUUUUCCAUUUUCUCUAUGUAAUAAGAGACACUAUUUUCUAUCUCUACCUUUCUCUUUCACAUACACAUGCUUAAGGUAGAACUUGGACUAAUUUGUGUUCAUAUGGAAUAUAGAUAAGCACAUUUGUUAAUUAAACCUUAUUUGUUUACUUUUUGCUACAUAUUUUUAAUAUAUAAGGAAGAUUUUACAAUAUUCUGAGAAUUAUAAUUGUCUUAAAAUGCUAGGAGAAGAACCUUAAUAGGAACUGUAAAACUAUGAAACAAAAACAAAACAACAUAAAUUUUCUCCUGCUGAGGUCAGUGAGGAUCACAUAUAUUUAGGAGAUCUUGCUUAAAAUAAUUAGUAUAAAAUAAACAUGACUCUUAAUGGCUGUGUACAUUGUAAUUCUUCCUAAAAGAAGACCGUACUGAAUUACAUCUUUAGUUACUACCAUAUCAGUUAGGGUUUAAUCCAGAAAAUAGAUCCAUUAUAAGUGAUAUGGAGGUAUAAAUUCAUUUAAGGGUCUAGAUCAUAUGUAAUUGUUGGAACUAGUUGAGAAAGUCUAUGGAAAGCUGUUGCUACUGUAUUGGUUCUGAAAUUGUAGGCCAUCAGUACUGGCAGCCAGGAGCAAUUUCCAAUGGAAGCAGAGCAUAGUAAGAACCAACUGGAACCUGCAAGGAAGAAUUGGAACUUAAUCUGUCUCUCACUACCGCAAUUCUUGAUGACACAGGUGACCUUCAGAGGAAGCGGAUAGUUUUUCCCAUGGAUAUGCAUUUAUACCUAGUCCAUGACUUGGAGAAGAUGAUGAAGGAGGUACAGUGGGAGGUGGAAGAGUCACAAGCCCAGCUGUGUCCUGUGCCCAGAUUGAAUUACGAAGAGACCAUACUUUGGAAAAAUGGCCUGAUGAUAAGGCCAAAAUGAUAAUGAUGAGUGUCUGUCAGGAGGAUUCUUUCAUGUAAUAGACAGCCUUUUGCUAAACAGUUUUCCCUUGGUUGUUGUUCCACUCUCUGAGAUAAAUAAGCGAGACUAUCCAACAAUCCAAAUCUGUGGACACAAUUAGUCCCAAGACACCUGUAAGCCAUGACGAGGACCAGGGAGGACUGUUGUGGUCCUGGCCCUGAAUGUCUAGGCGGCCACCUUGCCUAAAUCCAAAUGAAGAAGUCCCCUGAAAAGCUGAAAAACUGGAUGUCUUUGGAGGUAGAAAGAAAUGGAAGUCUUGUCACUGGGCAUAAAUUGCAUCCAUAAAUCCUUUUCAUAAGAGAAAGACCCAUUCUUCAGAAACAGCCUCCAGAUGCUAUGCCGCAGAUGCAGAAGAAUGGCAUUGGUAGGUACAAGAGGGUUAAGAGCAGCCUGACAUCACCAAACACCUGCUACAGGCUCCAUCUUUUCUUCCACAACAUUACCCAUUA